CCCCCCCCCCCGCCCCCCGCAAGGCUGGAGCAGCGGCGCCUGUCCUGGGGGUGUGGGGCGCUCUGUGGGAAGCUUUCCGUAACGCUGAGCUUGGCUGGCCAGCGGCGACAUUAAUUUCUUCUUAUUUGGGGCCGUUAUGGAUUUGGCCUUUAGAAUUGUUUGGGGUGGAAGGGAGUGUUGUGGUUUAUUGAAAGGUAACCGGUCCGAGUUGGUGUUGCUGCUUGUGCCCAAGAGGGGAGAGGGCUAGCUUUAAAAAAAGAAACAGCGUUUGGUAAGGAGAAAUAAAUGCAGGACGGUGUUGUGUGGUCCCAAAUCGGGGAAGGAGCUGUUGGGAUCUGCCUUGCGAGGAGCGGGCGCUGCGUGGGCGUCCUCGGUACCCCCGCAGAAGGCGCGGUGGCGGUUCCCUGUCCUCGCUGUUCCCAUCGCGGGUUCCCGGGAGACUGGAGUUGUGGGAGUCACCUUCUGGCUUUGAUUCCCCCAGCUUGGACGCAGAAUGUGCCGGAGAGACUAAGAAAGAUUGGCCGCCGCCGCCGCCUUUAAUAGUUUAACUUUGUGUUUGUAGAAAGGUUUUUAAAUCCUGAUUGGAUAGGGCAAGUUUGAUAGCAACAUAACUUCCCCGAAACUGUUCCUGAGCACAGCUGGCAAAACAGGCAGGAUUUGAGGGUAGAAGUAGUUCUAAAAAUAAUUCGACAGUGGAGGGGGAAAAGCGCAGGUGUGGAACGCAGACUGUUUAGUAAUGCCGGGGGUUGAUUUCUGCGGUUUCCAGAGAGCUAACUAGCCGUUUCCUUGGGCAAGUCACAGCCUUGCUGAUACAUCUGUUUCCUCUGGAAAACCGUUUCGUAAUACAGUUCCUGCCUUAAAAGAGUGUAAUGAAGAUCACGUGCCUUGUGUUAGUGAGCAUAAAUCACCACGUAAUGUGGUGGUGUAACAUAACGUCAGUUUUUAACAAAGCUAGCAUAUUUUUGGAAUUUUAAGAAUAAGCCGUGAAGUAAGAUAUUUGAUUUUCGCCAGAUCUGUUGCACUUUUUGUGUUGUUUCUGGCCAUGUAACCAGGCUGGCCUCCGGACUUGCUGUGUAAUCCAGGUCCCCUUUAGAGCUGACCUAGGAACGUGUGCCUAACUGCUGUAACUUUAAGUUUCUCUUCACGGUUUGAAAGAUCACUGUCAAGGUCUGCUAUCACUUCUUAUCUAUGUAUAAUUUUCCCUAAAACUGGAGAGCAUGCGUUUUCAGUUAAUUUAAAAGUAGAAAUAUUAAAUAUUCUCUGAAAAACGAUUUUAAUAACUGCUUAACAUUUUCAUCAUUUGAGUAUAUUUUUAGUUUUUCCUAUUGGCAGAUGUUUGGGGUUUUUCUAAUAUUUUGUGUAAAUUAUUACACAAGUCUUUGAAAUAGUAUACUCCCCUUUCCCCAUUAGAUUUAUAGGAGUCUGAGCCGGUUUUUAAAGUUUUUAUGCUCUUGUGACACCCCAAUUUUGAGCAUGUAUUAAUUUACUCAUAGAGGUAUAAAUGUGUCUCCUGCCAUAGCCUAGUUCAUCACCCAGGAUUGGCUAUAUGGGGAAAACCUUGUUGUCCACUCCCACUCCCACACUGACCUGUAUGUGGUAUCUGGUGCAUUUCCUAACUUACUGUUAGGUAUUUGAGAGAAAACUUCAUAUUCACAUGAGUAUAGCAAAUAGUGGAUGUCUAGUAAAGACUUGCCGAUUGGCUGCAAAUAUUUAAACUUUUUUUUUUAAACCGGUGAGCCGUCAGGAAAUUGUCUUUUCCUUUUUUGUCUUAAGAGUACAGAGUUGCUAAUGUAGUAACUGAUUGAGCUGUUUGAGUACUUGUUCCAUACGGCUAGGCCUCACUAGUCUUUAUAGUUUUCUAUUAAAUGUUCCAGUAACUUGCCAUUGAUAAGCAUGGCAUAUCCAAAAUGUUGGUCUGCUUUUCCUGCGUGUAUCCUUACACGUGGAUAUCCUUGACUCACUCACCACGCUUCCAAGGUGCUACUGUGAACAUUUCAUCCUGAUCAUCGUUAUUUCUCCCAUAGACUCUGUGCUACACAAACAGGAAGGCAGUGUCUACGGUUCUGUGCUUUGUUCCCGACUGUUCACAGCCCAAGAGUUACUGCCCAUGGCAUUCCUGCUGCUGGUCGCCUAUUCUUUCAUGUAAACCUUACAUGCAGCAAGCCAUUCAUGCUGUCAUGAUGUCUUCUUGGGUUUACACAUAUCUUGUUCCUUCCCAUAUAAGUCUGUGUUUGCUAUAUGAGGUGUCAGGUGAAGAAGUAGAAAGUUGUUUCCUUUAGGUUUAGGGCUGUCUUUAAGGUUGGUGUUGAUCUGGCUUAUCAAAUUGUUACAGCAAAGAGUGAGGCUGUUGUGUAGUGCAAAAUGACAGUGGGAUAUUAGCAGUUUAUGACUAAUGUGUGUUAUGUCUUCUAUCUGUUCUUAAAGCCUUUAUUAUAGUACUAUAAUAGAAAAAUCACACAAAAUAACUCAUAAGUAUUAUCUUUCAUAUUUUAUUCAGUAUGUUAUAUUUAGAAAGAGAAAGAAGCUGAAUAACUUUCUAAAUUUCUUCCUGUUUUCUCUUAAGUGCUGUACUAAAGGAACAUUUCACAGACACAGAUUUUUUUCUUGCCUAGUCAUGAAAGAUAAAAACAAAAACAUGUUAUUAAGAAUGAUACCAUACUUUCCAGUUGAUAAUGUAUAGUGAAAAUUGAGGAUAAUUCAUAGUGGAUUUUUUUUUUCUUUUUCUUUAAAGACAGGAUGUUGCUAUGAGACCUGGGUCAGCUUAGAAGUCACACUGUAGUCACAGCCACCCUGUAACUUAUCUUUUAGUUUGUCUUUCAUGUUGGGGUUUUGCUUGGCCACAAAGGAAAAUUUGAAUACUAAAUGUUAUUUCAUAUUUUCAAAAACACUUAUUUCUAUAUUGAUACAAAAGGUCAGCUUAUUUAUAGCAUUGAAAAUUUGUGAAUAUUUUAAAUCAUUCAUGAACUUUGUAAUGUUUCAGGUUCUUUUUGAGCUCUAUAGGACCCAGAGUUCAUAGGUAUGUCUUUAGUAGUUUAAAAAAAGAAAACUGGAAACUGUGGUACGUAAAAUUGCCAAAAUGAAUGGGCUGAACAAAUUUAUGACAAUGUACUUUUAAGUGUAAAUUUCUGCAAUCAAAUUUCUGUCCAUAGGAAAAACCUCAUUUUUAUUCUUAUGAGUCAUGCACUUACAGAAGAAGAGUAAUAAUUCUGCUUCAAGUAUGAGCUGUUUGAUCUGUUAUGUGGCCACCCAAGUGGCUUUAUCUUUAAUUAAAUUCCUUUAGUCUUCAAAGAGAAUUCCUUUUUAGGCAUAGUUUUCAAAGUGGAAGAAGCUUAUAAACAUCAUAGACUACAAAGUGCUGAGCUAACUAUAUUCUGCUCAUGCCAGUUAUUGCAGGGUUUUCUGUAGGGAACAGGGACUUCUCCUAAAAGAAUACAUAAAGAUAUCUGGAAAUAUGCUAUAUUUUGUACUUAUGGCUUUCAUUAAUUCCUAUUUUUUAAUACUUUAAAACAUUUUAAAAGAUGGUGUGACUAUCUGAGUGUGUGGGUUUGUGAGAGUGCAGUGUCUGUGGGAGCCAGAAGAGGGUGUUGGGUCUCCUGGAGAUGGAAGUACAGUGACUGGGAGCUGACCUACCUGGGUGUUGGGGUUGAGUUUAGGUCCUCGGCAAGAGCAGUAUGUGUUAUUAACUCCUGAGCCAACUCUUCAGCCUAGUUCUAGUUCUGUGAGAUAAAAAUUCAGCCAAUAUGAACUCAUUCUUGUUUUUAUAUUGCAUUUUUGCUUUUAUAUGAACAAGUUAGAAAAAUUGAAUUCUCUUAUAUUUUUAGCAUUUACAAGCCCAACUUAGGCCAGUGAGAUGGCUCAUUUUGUAUGGGUGUUUGCCACUAAUCUGAUAACCUGAACUGGAUCCCUGCAACAUGAGUAGUGAAGGGAGAGGACUUCCCACAUCCAUUAAAUGUCUCUGCUUUCCGUCAUAGCACCCCACCACAUGCUUAAUAAAUGUAAAGACAAAAAGAAAGCAUCUCACAUUUAGUUAGCUACUUUUCCUUUUUAGCAUGAGUCCACUUCAUGUAAUACUUAAGUCAUAUAUGUGGAAGUAAGUUUUGGUCCUUUCAAAUUCAAUUGGUAGGUUUUUGGUUUUGUUUUGUUUUUGUUUUUUUAAAUCGGUGAAUGUGUGCCUUAUACUCUGUAUUUCAGAGAAUAGAGUUUAUCAAAGUUACAAUUAAAAGUAAAUUUAAUGUUCAGGGGUAAAGCUGGAGAGAAUACUUUCCAAAGACAAUAUGGGAUGUUCAUGUGCAUUCUAGAAUAUAGAGCAUAACAAAAAUCUGAAGCAAUAUAAGGGGUAGGGAAUCAAAUUUUAAUAUUAACUUUUCAGGAGUAACAGUGGUUCUUAUCUGGAUUAUCAAAUUCAAGUGUGAAGGUACUAGGACUAGAUAGUAUUUAAAGGCCGAGAUAGAAUUUAAGUAAUUUUCUUUGAGGGCAUGUCAAUCUUUUGAGAUAUGUAAGUUAUUUAUUAGCUUGUAAAGAUUUGAUUACUGUGUCUGAACCAACUCAAUAGUAAUUGCCUUGACAGUUAUCUCACUAUGUAAGUGCAGAUUUUGAAAGAUGACUGCUUUUUCUAUGUUUCAUGAUCUCCAGAGGUUAGAUUACAUUUAGUUCAUGCUAGACUCAUAAGUAUGAAUGUGCUUUGAAUCUUAAAUGUACAGUGUAAGCAACUAAUGAAAACAUUCCAGGGACAAGGCAAAACUUUGCAUUUGUAAUAGUAUAAUUUCAGAAUCAGGAAACUCAGUUCUCAGUGAAUGCUCUUUGGAUUACAUUGUAGACUAAAAUUUUAGAAUUUAUGAUGUAGAUUAACAGAAUAACCCAGUUCAUUGUUUUGAUGGAUUAAUUUGGUUUUAUAAUAGUGAAAUUAAUAUACACCAAAA
rnacentral:lncRNA from 1 species